AUUGAACGCUGGCGGCAGGCCUAACACAUGCAAGUCGAGCGAGUGGCGGACGGGUGAGUAAUGUCUGGGAAACUGCCUGAUGGAGGGGGAUAACUACUGGAAACGGUAGCUAAUACCGCAUACCAUCGGAUGUGCCCAGAUGGGAUUAGCUAGUAGGUGGGGUAAUGGCUCACCUAGGCGACGAUCCCUAGCUGGUCUGAGCGGAUGACCAGCCACACUGGAACGGAGACACGGUCCAGACUCCUACGGGAGGCAGCAUUGGGGAAUAUUGCACAAUGGGCGCAAGCCUGAUGCAGCCAUGCCGAGUGUAUGAAGAAGGCCUUCGGGUUGUAAAGGACGUUCAGCGGGGAGGCGUUACCCGCAGAAGAAGCACCGGCUAACUCCGUGCCAGCAGCCGCGGUAAGAC
rnacentral:rRNA from 1 species